rnacentral:rRNA from 1 species
UACGGAGGGUGCGAGCGUUGUCCGGAAUCACUGGGCGUAAAGGGCGCGUAGGCGGCCUGAUAAGUAGGGGGUGAAAUCCUGCGGCUUAACCGCAGGGCUGCCUUCUAAACUGUCAGGCUCGAGCACAGUAGAGGCAGGUGGAAUUCCCGGUGUAGCGGUGGAAUGCGUAGAGAUCGGGAAGAACAUCAGUGGCGAAGGCGGCAUCCUGGACCGAGAUUGACGCUGAUGAGCGAAAGCUAGGGGAGCAAACGGG